GACAGUGGCUCAGCUGUCAGGGAUAUCCAUAUGGAGAACUUUACUAUUUCGGUGGGUGGUCGUGAUCUCAUCCAAGAUUGUACUGUGACACUUUCAUUUGGAAGACACUAUGGUCUUGUUGGCAGAAAUGGUACUGGUAAAACAUCUUUCCUUAGGCAUAUGGCCAUGCAUGCCAUUGACGGUAUUCCCAAGAACUGCCAAAUUCUCCAUGUGGAGCAGGAAGUUGUGGGUGAUGAUACAACAGCUCUGCAGUGUGUCUUGAGCUCGGAUGUUGAAAGGACCCAG
rnacentral:misc_RNA from 1 species